rnacentral:rRNA from 1 species
GAACUUAAGCAUAUCAAUAAGCGGAGGAAAAGAAACCAACAGGGAUUGCCCCAGUAACGGCGAGUGAAGCGGCAACAGCUCAAAUUUGAAAUCUGGCCCCUCCGGGUCCGAGUUGUAAUUUGUAGAGGAUGCUUUUGGUGAGGUGCCGCCCGAGUUCCCUGGAACGGGACGCCGCAGAGGGUGAGAGCCCCGUCUGGCUGGCCACCGAGCCUCUGUAAAGCUCCUUCGACGAGUCGAGUAGUUUGGGAAUGCUGCUCAAAAUGGGAGGUAUAUGUCUUCUAAAGCUAAAUAUUGGCCAGAGACCGAUAGCGCACAAGUAGAGUGAUCGAAAGAUGAAAAGCACCUUGAAAAGAGGGUUAAACAGUACGUGAAAUUGUUGAAAGGGAAGCGCUUGUGACCAGACUUGGGCGCGGCGGAUCAUCCGGGGUUCUCCCCGGUGCACUUCGCCGCGUCCAGGCCAGCACCAGUUCGUCGCGGGGGAAAAAGGCCUCGGGAACGUGGCUCCUCCGGGAGUGUUAUAGCCCGUUGCAUAAUACCCUGCGGUGGACUGAGGACCGCGCAUCUGCAAGGAUGCUGGCGUAAUGGUCACCAGCGACCCGUCUUGAAACACGGACCAAGGAGUCGUCUUCGUAUGCGAGUGUUCGGGUGUCAAACCCCUACGCGUAAUGAAAGUGAACGCAGGUGAGAGCUUCGGCGCAUCAUCGACCGAUCCUGAUGUUCUCGGAUGGAUUUGAGUAAGAGCAUACGGGGCCGGACCCGAAA